rnacentral:tmRNA from 1 species
CCUCUUCACAUCCGGCGCGAAGCCUCUAUAUGAGGUUUCGCCGGCUUUGGCCGGAUAUGAUGAUAAAUUGCGCCGUGCAAUAGAUGCAGCGGACCCGGGGGCGGUACCCGGCGGCUCCACCAUCACCCGUCCCUUCUCGCAAGGGGCUACCCUGUUGUCGCAGGGGUGAUGACGGGGCCGAACUAGGAUCGACGUGUGUUGAAAAGCGGUGUUUUCAUCCGGGCUGAGUAACCCGUUCAAGGCUCAAAACUCAUAAGUGCCAACGACAACGAAGCACUUGCUCUCGCGGCGUAAUUCUAGGGCCUAACGGCCUGAAGUUACAAAGUCAGAACACGGUUGGGCCCACCGGGUAACAGAAGGGAUUCCAGGGGCCCGGGGUGAGCCUGUCAACAGAAUCGCCCCACC